UGCCAGGUGUCUUACUUUCUGACUUAGU
rnacentral:piRNA from 1 species